GACGAACGCUGGCGGCGUGCCUAAAUACAUGCAAGUCGAGCGGACCGAAGGGAGCUUGCUCCUUUAGGUUAGAGGCGGACGGGUGAGUAACACGUGGGCAACCUGCCCUGCAGACUGGGAUAACUUCGGGAAACCAGAGCUAAUGCCGGAUAACAUUUGGAACCGCAUGGUUCUAAAGUAAAAGAUGGUUUUGCUAUCACUUAUAGAUGGACCCGCGCCGUAUUAGCUAGUUGGUAAGGUAACGGCUUACCAAGGCAACGAUACGUAGCCGACCUGAGAGGGUGAUCGGCCACACUGGAGCUGAGACACGGUCCAG
rnacentral:rRNA from 1 species